AUACUGACCUGGCAGGGGAGAUCCCCCAGUCAUAAAGGUGAUUUUCCCUGAGUGAGGCUUACUUAUAUGCACUUUGGAUGUACUGACCCCUGAGAUUUCCUCAAGUGUUGGAAACGCAACUGCAUGAUUUGUGGUAGUGGGGGUCUGUGUUCAUGCCCUCCAU
ensembl:snRNA U1 U1 spliceosomal RNA